rnacentral:rRNA from 1 species
UGUAAGUAUAAACAACUUGUACUUGUGAAACUGCGAAUGGCUCAUUACAACAGUUAUGAUUUAUUUGACAAUGAAGAAGAAUGAAUGAUGUCUUUAUUACAUGGAUAGCCGUAGUAAUUCUAGAGUUAAUACAUGCGAGUGUCUUUAGUUUCAAGGUAAGAUGGCGACAUUUUAUUUUGGGAUGGGGCACGAUUAGAAAGAUCCGACUUGGAAAGGAAGGAUGGUAUUUAUUAGAUCGAAAACCAAUAGCAGUGGUUGAAAUCUUUGUCCAUGAGACAGGGGAACCUACUGUGAUAUUUGAUUGAUGAAUCAUGAUAAAUGUCGAAUUGACUCCCAUGUCAAGGGGGGUUGUGCGAGCAAUCGUAUGAUCUUUCUCGGGAGACGAUGUGUCAUAUAAAUUUCUGACCUAUCAACUUUUGAUGGUAGGAUAGAGGCCUACCAUGGUAUUGACGGGUAACGGAGAAUUAGGGUUUGAUUCCGGAGAGGGAGCCUGAGAGAUGGCUACCACUUCCAAGGAAGGCAGCAGGCGCGCAAAUUACCCAAUCCCAAUUGUAUAAUGGGGAGGUAGUGACAAAAAAUAACAAUACGGGGUGUCUAAUGGCAUUCUGCAAUUGUCAUGGUUCUAAUGUAAAUGCUUAGAAGAGAAACGAUUAGAGGGCAAGUCUGGUGCCAGCAGCCGCGGUAAUUCCAGCUCUAAUAGUGUAUACUAAAAUUGCUGCAGUUAAAAAGCUCGUAGUUGGAUUUAGAAAUCUUAGACGUUGCUGCAGUUGACACCCGCUAUUCGGAAGAGUAGAGAUGGGUCACUGUGGUGGACAGUAUUGUCUUCUCAGCUUGUGUUGUUUGUGUAGUUGAUUAUACGAGCAAUCGUAUAGUCAGUUAUGUAGAUGGCAUAAGUGUUAUAAAGUAUGACUGUAAUGGGUUAUACUUUGUGCCGAUGAUUCUAGUGAUAAAGCUUUCUUUUGAAUUAUAGGAGUAUUAGUAAUAUAAUACUUACUAGAUGAAGAGGCGCUAGAAGGCACUGGGAAGAGGCUCUGUUGUGGUUAUAAUGGACUGCAAUGGGGUAAGGUUAUUGAUUCGGAGUUGUCUUGGAAGCACUUAAAUGAUGUUUUCAUUAGAUUAAGAUAUGGUAAAGAAGGGGCUCGUAAGGGUCACUUUUUUAUUGUAUUGAAUUCCGGAGAUUUUACUUUGAAGAAAAUGGAGUGUUCAAAGCAGGCGUUUGUUUGCCAUAAAUGGUAAAGAAAGAUCGCAACUGAACACAUUAGCAUGGAAUAAUAAAACAAGACACUUGAUUAGGAAUGAAAAGGCUUAACUGUAUGUUAAGUUGUUUAUCUCGCUUGAAAGAGUUAGGGAUAGACCAGGACUAAUUAUCUAGCUCUAUUAUUGGGAUAGAUAUUUGUAUUUUAUUGGUUUAUGAAAGAGGUGUAAUGAUUAAGAGGGACAGUUGGGGGUAUCUGUAUUGCAUUGUCAGAGGUGAAAUUCUUGGAUUUAUGCAAGACAAACAAGUGCGAAAGCAUUUACCAAGGAUGUUUUCAUUAAUCAAGAACGAAAGUUAGGGGAUCGAAGGCGAUCAGAAACCGCCCUAGUCUUAACUAUAAACGAUGCCAACUAGGGAUUGACGGGAUGAUAUUCGUCAAAAAUGAUGGUUAGUAGCUAUUAUUUUAUGAAGAGGAUAUUGCUUUUAAAAUUAUGGGUAUUUUAGUUAUAUGAGAUAGUUGAAAGACUAUGUUGUUGGCUAAGAUAUCUUUUAAGCCCUGCCAGCACCUUUAGAGAAAUCGAAGAAGUCUCUGGGUUCUGGGGGGAGUAUGGUCGCAAGUCUGAAACUUAAAGAAAUUGACGGAAGGGCACCACCAGGUGUGGAGCCUGCGGCUUAAUUUGACUCAACACGGGGAAACUUACCAGGUCCAGACACGGGAAGGAUUGACAGAUUGAUAGUUCUUUCUUGAUUCCGUGGGUGGUGGUGCAUGGUCGUUCUUAGUUGGUGGAGUGAUUUGUCUGGUUAAUUCCGAUAACGAACGAGACCUCAACCUGCUAAAUAGGAUGAUGAUUUAUGAUUCUGUGCUUUGUGUCUAAAUGAUUCUGUGAUAGUGAUUUAGAUUACUGUGCCAGCCAAUCUGGAUGGUAAAGUGAUUUGAUUUGCUAACAUGGGGUAUUAGAUAUUGAAGGAUGGGAUGUAAAAUUUAGGAUAAUUCGCUAUGCUUAUAUUGUUAUUUUAGCUUUUUGUGUCAUUAUCAGCAAUGGUGAUGGUCAAAGAGUUAAUGAUGAUAUAAGUGAAUUAUUGAAAUCAUUAUUUUGAAAUAUAUUUAGUUUGCUGGAUAAGGAAAGGAUUGAUGUAAAAGUUGAUCUUUUGUUUUAUUGGUGAACUAAACCUGCUUAGAGGGACUACCAUGGUUGCACAUGGGGGAAGCAUGAGGCAAUAACAGGUCUGUGAUGCCCUUAGAUGUCCUGGGCCGCACGCGCGCUACACUGAUGAAGUCAACGAGUUGUUGUUACUGACCCGAUGAAAUAAAAGGAUUUAUUGAGGAUCAUGCUGUAUUUCGGUAUAGUGUGAUGACUUGAUAAAUUCUCAUUGGGAUGGUGAUUUCCUUAUCCGAAAGGAUCGGGUAAUCUUGUGAAACUUUAUCGUGAUGGGGAUUGAUCUUUGUAAUUUUGGAUCAUGAACGAGGAAUACCUAGUAAGCGCAAUUCAUCAGAUUGCGUUGAUUACGUCCCUGCCCUUUGUACACACCGCCCGUCGCUCCUACCGAUUGAAUGAUCAGAUGAAAUGUUUGGAUUGGUGGGUUGUAGGAAAGCAUGUGGUGUGCUAUGAUUUCGGUUGUAGUGCGCUAUUUUUUCUGGAACUUAUUGAGAAGAACAGUAAAUCUUAUUAUUUA